rnacentral:rRNA from 1 species
UUUGUUGGUUUUCGGAAUACGAGGUAAUGAUUAAGAGGGACAGACGGGGGCAUUCGUAUUGCGACGCUAGAGGUGAAA